AGAGAGAGAGAAAGAGAGAGAGAGAGAGAGAGAGAAUGUCUCUCUGUGUGUGCGUGUGGAGUAUGGUGUGUACGCGUGUUCUCAGGGCGCAUUGUAUAUUUCAGGGAAUGCCGUUGAAGUGCAGUGUUGGAGAGCUGUCUGUGUUAGCUAGCUCAGGAGCAAGCACGCCGCAAGCAACAGUAAUCAAUAUGUAACUUUCUUCAUCCUCAGAGAAAUCCCCGCUGUCCCCAGGCACCCAUGCAAGGCAAGUCACUUGAUUAUGAAAGUGUUUCAGAAGAAAAGCAGACGCCUGUGGAGAGAGAGAGGCAGUGUCUCGAAGGAGGGAACAAGCCUCUCUUAAGACAUGUUUUGCAGCUCCAUGAAACUGAAAUCUGGUUGAACAGUAUUUAGAAUUCUACCUGUUAACCAUCUCCUAUUACAGCUCACAUUCAAGAAUCUCAAAGCUUGCUUUCGCCUGAACUGCUUUCACAAACAUCCACAAGUCACGAUCAGUUUUGCUUCUGAUCUAGCAGUUCUGGAAAAGAGUUAAGAGGGACAAAGGAAAACAAUCCGUUGAAAUAGAGCUCUGAGGACAGAACCCAAGCUGCAGGAAAGAUCUGAUCUCCACCUAAGGUAUUAAAGAAAUCCAAUGAUACAACUGAGAAAAUUCAUUCUCAUGAGUCUGUCACCACUAAUAGAAGAUAGAAUCUGCAAGCUGCUCACAGAAACAAAUUUUCUUCCUUCACGAAGAAAAUGAAAGUGUUACUCUAGAACAAGUAAGAAGGCUGUAUAUUUGACUCAUUUAUGGAUAUCCAUCAUUUUAACAGAGUUCUUGAUAUUGCUGAACUCUACCUCUUCAGGUGAAACCAAAGCAUGUAAAUGUGUUUGAUUUGACAUUCCAAUUAUAUUGUAAGUCAAGAUUCAUUUGGUUGGGUAAACCUUAAAUCUCAGCUAACAGUCACAUGGGUAGGGCUAAAACAUAAAUGAAAGGAUUUUUAAAUAAUUUAUUUGUUUUUAUUUUAUGUAUACUGGCCUUCUGUCUUCAUGUCUGUAUGCCUG